GCUUACGGCCACACCGGCCUGAGUACGCCUGAUCUCGUCCGAUCUCGGAAGCUAAGCAGGGUCGGGCCUGUUUAUUAACUUGGAUGGGAGACCGCCUGGGAAUACCAGGUGCUGUAAGCU
rnacentral:rRNA from 1 species